GCCUGAAUGAGAUUAAAACUAAAUGUGUGUUUAUGGCAUCCAGGCAAAAAUCAAGUACUAUUCCUGAAGAACCUAAUAUUGCUAUCUCCGGAAACAAAAUUGAAAGAGUUAGAUCUUAUAAGUGUUUAGGUUUAAAACUAGACGAGAGUUUGACAGGCGAGCAUUAUGUUUCUACUAUAAUCUCCAAAGUCUCCAAGGCGAUCGGAGUUCUACGAAUACUAAAACCAUUGCUCCCACAGUCAACUCUUGUCAUGAUCUAUAACUCUUUAGCACAGCCAUACCUUGAUUAUUGUAGUAUUGUCUGGGAUAGCUUAGGUAAGGGUCUUGCACAAAAGUUACAGCGAUUACAGAAUAGGGCUGCAAGAAUUAUUACUGAAUCUGAUUAUAACAUCCGGUCAUCAGAUAUUUUAACAUCAUUGAAUUGGACCAACCUUGAAACUAGACGUACCCAACAGUUCAAAACGUUUAUGUACAAAACUGGUAAUAAUAUGGUUCCUAGUUACUUGUCUGGAAAAUUUACUUCCACGUCAAUGAUACACGAACAUAGUUUGCGUGGAUCUAUUCAUAAACUUUUUGUACCAAGACCCUUAACGGAAUCCUUGAAGAAAAGUUUUUCCUAUAGAGGAGCUACCCUAUGGAAUGUCAUAGCCGUCGAACUCACCAGAGUUCAAUAUCUCGCUGAGUUUAGAUCUAAAAUAUCUUAUCACACGCCCCCCGUGGAAAUCAGCUACGGUUGACGGGGUCAGCGUGGAUAAAUAAAGUACUACUACUAGUUACAUCGGUGGUAGGCCGGGAAAGUUGAAAAAAAAAAAAAAAAAAAAAUUUCUUUUAUGUUAGUUUCUUUGCAUGUGUAGUUUGUUACUUUUGUAAAUAGUUUGAUACCUUUUUAUUAGUAAUUAGUCUACUAGUAUAGGACCACGUCUCCAUUGAAGAGCACAUAACAUAACCUGUGAAAUGGACCUCGUGUUUUAAAUAAAGAUGUCAAUCAAUCAAUCAAUCAAUCAAUCAAAUACACCUUAUUUUACAGACACGAAAUCGACAUCAAGACCCAUGGUAAAUUACUCACUGUAUAUAUACUAGUUUCAAUCAGUUUUGUUUGAAAUGAUACGAAAUACUUAUAUAAAUUCUAAAAUUUUCAUCAAUGUUUAGUUAGAUACUUAGAUUUUCAUUAAUGAUCGAAAAUUUGCACAAAAGCCCUGCGCUUAAUUUUAUUAAAACCAUUGAACUAUAAAUAUAGUUCAUUGAUCAAAACAAGGAAAAUUCUUCCGAUACUGCGAUAAGCAUUAAGUUCCGGUUAUCGUAUAGAGGGAUUUUAUGUGAGUGGUAACAGAUUUCACGGGGUAACACAAAUCACUGUAACAGCG